GUAACACGUAGUCAACAUGCCCAGGGGACGUGGAUAACCUCGGGAAACUGAGGAUAAACCGCGCUAAGUCACUACUUCUGGAAUGGGUAAUGACUCAAAUCUACAUGGCCCCUGGAUUGGACUGCGGCCGAUCAGGCUGUUGGUGAGGUAAUGGCCCACCAAACCUGUAACCGGUACGGGCUCUGAGAGGAGGAGCCCGGAGAUGGGCACUGAGACAAGGGCCCAGGCCCUAUGGGGCGCAGCAGGCGCGAAACCUCUGCAAUAGGCGAAAGCCUGACAGGGUUACUCUGAGUGAUUUCCGUUAAGGAGAUCUUUUGGCACCUCUAAAAAUGGUGCAGAAUAAGGGGUGGGCAAGUCUGGUGUCAGCCGCCGCGGUAAUACCAGCACCCCGAGUGGUCGGGACGUUUAUUGGGCCUAAAGCAUCCGUAGCCGGUUCUACAAGUCUUCCGUUAAAUCCACCUGCUUAACAGAUGGGCUGCGGAAGAUACUAUAGAGCU
rnacentral:rRNA from 1 species